GGAGAAUAGAGCUGGGAAGUGGAAGGCUGAGUCAGAGAGACACUGCCAGCCGCCAUGAUGAGAAACAGCAUGUAAAGAUGCCGGAGAACCUGAGACCCAGGUCACCCACACCGUACUCACCAUCCUUCCUGAAUUUUCCCUGAUGCCUUCGUCGGAGAAGGAGGAAGAUGAGGAUGAAGAGGAACAGGAGGAAGGCCACAGAGACUCCGACCAGAGCCUUCAGUUCACCUGCCUCAGAUCACCUGACUGGAAGUAGCAGAGCUGGAAAGUGAACCUGGAGACUCUUACUUACAGCUCUUUUCUCUACACCUGAACUAGCCUUAUGAGUUGGAGGGAAGGAGCCUGAAUGUCCUGCCAUGGCUCUAUGCCCCACCCUUGCACAUGCCACCACCACUGUGGGACAGACCCACUGCAGAAUCAGGUUCUGGGGACUCCUUUGUCAGGAGAGGUCACAGCCAAGGCCAGCCCUGAAAGAAAUUUAGACAUGUGGGCCAGGCUUCUCCUCUUUUUACUCAGCCAAUCCAGAAAGGGAAAGGCUGGUCCCAGUCAGCAUCUCCAGAAGCAGCUGUGUGGAUCCCAUAACUAGCUAUUGCCCAUCUGGGCCCCACCUUCCAACAGAGUCCUUAUUAGCCUCUGGGACCUGACUCCAUGCAGGUGAGAGAGGUUUGUUUUCAGGGCCUUAGAGGCAGGAUGGGGAGGCAAAUGUCUGGGAUCCCUGCUCUCCACCUCACCCACCUGCCCCAUCCUCCAGACAGAGUCAGAACAUUCUGGAUGCCACCUUUCUGUAUCCAAACCCCUAAGUCCUGGGUCUCUGGGGUCUCUGCUGGGAUCUCUG